AGCGAACGCUGGCGGCAGGCCUAACACAUGCAAGUCGAGCGGACCUUUCGGGGUCUUCGGCGGACGGGUGAGGAACGCGUGGGAACGUGCCCUCCGGUUCGGAAUACCUCUGGGAAAGUAGGGCCAUUACCGGACACGCCCUUAUGGGGAAAGGUUUACUGCCGGACGAUCGGCCCGCGUCUGAUUAGCUAGUUGGUGGGGUAACGGCCUACCAAGGCGUCGAUCAGUAGCUGGUUUGAGAGGAUGGUCAGCCACACUGGGACUGGGACACGGCCCGGACUCCUACGGGAGGCAGCAGUGGGGAAUAUUGGACGAUGGGCGCAAGCAUGAUCCUGCCAUGCCGCGUGAGUGAUGAAGGCCUGAAGGUUGUAAAGCUCUUUUAACCGGGACGAUAGUGACGGUACCGGAGGAGUAAGCCCCGGCUAACUACGUG
rnacentral:rRNA from 1 species